rnacentral:rRNA from 1 species
GACGAACGCUGGCGGCGUGCUUAACACAUGCAAGUCGUACGGUAAGGCCCUUUCGGGGGUACACGAGUGGCGAACGGGUGAGUAACACGUGAGUAACCUGCCCACAACUUUGGGAUAACGCUAGGAAACUGGUGCUAAUACUGGAUAUGUGCUCCUGCUGCAUGGUGGGGGUUGGAAAGCUCCGGCGGUUGUGGAUGGACUCGCGGCCUAUCAGCUUGUUGGUGGGGUAGUGUCCUACCAAGGCGGCGACGGGUAGCCGGCCUGAGAGGGUGACCGGCCACAUUGGGACUGAGAUACGGCCCAGACUCCUACGGGAGGCAGCAGGGGGGAAUAUUGCACAAUGGGCGCAAGCCUGAUGCAGCAACGCCGCGUGCGGGAUGACGGCCUUCGGGUUGUAAACCGCUUUCAGCAGGGACGAAGCUUUUUGUGACGGUACCUGCAGAAGAAGCACCGGCUAACUACGUG